UAGUGAUAUUGAUUGCUUCUUUGUCUCAGGAGGUAUAAGAACUGGCAGAUCUCAAAGGGGAAAUUUCUGGUAUCCUGUGUCUUCAGACUUUGUUCUUCUGUUCAAGUAACUCUCCUCCCUUCAUGGUGUGUGGACCACCUGGGGAUCUCCAUUCCCACACACAGCAUCCUCUCCCACUGAGGCCAGACAUGGCAGUCCAUUAAGGGAACAGAUUCCAAAGAUAGGCAGCAGCUUUAUGGCCAGUCAGUGCUACAGUUAUUGGAGGACCCUCAUGAAGACUGAGCUGCACAUCUGCUACCUACAUGUCAGGGGCCUUAGUCCAGCCUGUGUAUCCUAUUUGGUCAGUGGCUCAAUUUCUGUGUGUCCCCAAGGGACACUCCUGUAACUUUGCCAGUGCAUUUCUUUUAGACAGGACACAUUUUGUUCUGUGUGUCUACUGUGUCGUGGUUGAAACUAUAAAAGCCCCUAGCUUCCAAGUCUUGGGGUUGAAACCAUUGU